AGCGAACGCUGGCGGCAGGCUUAACACAUGCAAGUCGAGCGGGCACUUUCGGGUGUCAGCGGCGGACGGGUGAGUAACGCGUGGGAACGUGCCCUCUGGUUCGGAAUAACUCAGGGAAACUUGAGCUAAUACCGGAUACGCCCUUUUGGGGAAAGGCUUGCUGCCGGAGGAUCGGCCCGCGUCUGAUUAGCUAGUUGGUGAGGUAACGGCUCACCAAGGCGACGAUCAGUAGCUGGUCUGAGAGGAUGAUCAGCCACACUGGGACUGAGACACGGCCCAGACUCCUACGGGAGGCAGCAGUGGGGAAUAUUGGACAAUGGGCGCAAGCCUGAUCCAGCCAUGCCGCGUGAGUGACGAAGGCCUUAGGGUUGUAAAGCUCUUUUAUCCGGGACGAUAAUGACGGUACCGGAGGAAUAAGCCCCGGCUAACUUCGUG
rnacentral:rRNA from 1 species